UAGAUUGAAGCCAGUUGUCUAGGGUGUUUAGCUGUUAACUAAAGUUUCGCGGGUUUAAAGCCCGUCAGUCUAGU
rnacentral:tRNA from 1 species